CUCUUAAUGGAAAGGAGGUGGAAUUAAAUAGUCCCAGUUCUCAAGCAAGCCUAAAUGAUUGGAUAAGAUCACAGCCUGGACUCACUGGGACAAAGAAAAUGUGUGGUGAGGGUGGCUGUGGGUGUUGUGUAGUAUCUCUCACCAAGACUGACCUUUUAACCAAAAAACAAGUCACAAUAGCUAUUAAUUCUUGCUUGUGCCCUUUGUAUUCCAUUAAUGGAUGUUCAGUUACUACA